UACGGGGGGGCAAGCGUUGUUCGGAAUCACUGGGCGUAAAGCGCACGUAGGCGGCUUUUUAAGUCAGGGGUGAAAUCCUGGAGCUCAACUCCAGAACUGCCUUUGAUACUGAGAGCUUGAGUCCGGGAGAGGUGAGUGGAACUGCGAGUGUAGAGGUGAAAUUCGUAGAUAUUCGCAAGAACACCAGUGGCGAAGGCGGCUCACUGGCCCGGUACUGACGCUGAGGUGCGAAAGCGUGGGGAGCAAACAGGG
rnacentral:rRNA from 1 species